rfam:Mesitornis unicolor contig45746, whole genome shotgun sequence.
AUAAAGGCUCUUCUUCACUUAGAGCCACUAAAAUUUUAAUGUGUUCUAUGU